CCUCUCGGGCGGACAUCGAAAGUGAAAAGUUGGGUCCUCUGUCGUGGAGGGCCCCCGACGCCCGGACCAGACCUUUUGGGCUGGAUGUUCGGUAUAGCAUGAAUGGUAGGACCCGAAAGAUGGUGAACUAUCCCUGGCUAGGGUGAAGCCAGAGGAACCUACGGUGGAAGCUCGUAGCGAUUUUUCCUUGCAAAUCGAUCGUCAAACUUGGGUAUAGGGGCGAAAGACUAAUCGAACCAUCUAGUAGCUGGUUCCAUUAGAAGUUUCCCUCAGGAUAGCAGAACCUCAUGUCAGAUUUAUGCGGCAAAGCGAAUCAUUAGAGGCUCUGGGGAUGAAACAUCCUUUUCCUAUUCUCCCCCUUCAAAUAUGUAAGAACGAGCCGUCGUUUGAUUGGACCGCUCGGUUAUUGUUUGUUUCUAGGGGGCCAUUUUUGGUAAGCAGAUCUGGCGAUGCGGGAUGAACCGAACGUGAGCCUCACGUGCCGGAAUGCAUUCCCAUCCAACUCCACAAAAGGUGUUAGUUCAUCUAAACACCAGGGCGGUGGCCAUGGAAGUGGGAUUCCCCCCAGGAGUGUGUAUCCACUCCCCGACCGAAUGACCUAGCCCGGAAAAUGGAUGGCGCUCAAGCGCGCUACCUACACCUCUCCGUCGCCGCUGAGAGUGACGUGCCGAGGAGUAGGCAGGUCGUGGAGGUACCGUGAAGAAGCCU
rnacentral:rRNA from 1 species